UCCUUCUUAGCUCAGUUGGUAGAGCGCGUCACUAGUAGUAUUACUUGUAUGACGAGGUCAGUCGUUCAAGUCGGCUAGAAGGAA